rnacentral:rRNA from 1 species
GAUGAACGCUAGCGGCAGGCCUAACACAUGCAAGUCGAGGGGCAGCACAGAAACAGCUAUGUUUUGGUGGCGACCGGCGGACGGGUGCGUAACGCGUAUGCAACCUACCUUUAACAGGGGGAUAACGGAGAGAAAUUUCCACUAAUACCCCAUAACAUCGAUCAAGGCAUCUUGAUUGGUUGAAAACUCCGGUGGGUAAAGAUGGGCAUGCGUUGUAUUAGGUAGUUGGUGAGGUAAUGGCUCACCAAGCCUACGAUACAUAGGGGGACUGAGAGGUUAGCCCCCCACACUGGUACUGAGACACGGACCAGACUCCUACGGGAGGCAGCAGUGAGGAAUAUUGGUCAAUGGGGGCAACCCUGAACCAGCCAUGCCGCGUGCAGGAAGACGGCUCUAUGAGUUGUAAACUGCUUUUAAACAGAGAUAAAGCACAGUAUGUAUACUGUGUUGAAGGUACUGUAAGAAUAAGGAUCGGCUAACUCCGUGCCAGCCGCCGCGGUAA